rnacentral:rRNA from 1 species
UACGGAGGGUGCGAGCGUUGUCCGGAAUCACUGGGCGUAAAAGGGCGCGUAGGCGGCGCGGGCAGUCAACGGUGAAAGCUCGGAGCUCAACUCCGAGUCGGCCGUCGAUACUCCCGUGCUUGAGCACUGUAGAGGCAGAUGGAAUUCCGGGUGUAGCGGUGGAAUGCGUAGAGAUCCGGAAGAACGACCGGUGGCGAAGGCGGUCUGCUGGGCAGUAGCUGGACGCGAUGCGCGACAGCGUGG